CCCAGACUCCUACGGGAGGCAGCAGUGGGGAAUAUUGCACAAUGGGGGGAACCCUGAUGCAGCGACGCCGCGUGGGCGAGGAAGUAUUUCGGUAUGUAAAGCCCUAUCGGCAGGGAAGAAGAAAUGACGGUACCUGAAUAAGAAGCACCGGCUAAAUACGUGCCAGCAGCCGCGGUAAUACGUAUGGUGCAAGCGUUAUCCGGAUUUACUGGGUGUAAAGGGGGCGCAGACGGCAGCGCAAGCCAGGAGUGAAAGCCCGGGGCCCAACCCCGGGACUGCUCUUGGAACUGCGCGGCUGGAGUGCAGGAGGGGCAGGCGGAAUUCCUGGUGUAGCGGUGAAAUGCGUAGAUAUCAGGAGGAACACCGGUGGCGAAGGCGGCCUGCUGGACUGCGACUGACGUUGAGGCCCGAAAGCGUGGGGAGCAAACAGGAUUAGAUACCCCUGUA
rnacentral:rRNA from 1 species